CCUACGGGGGGCAGCAGUGGGGAAUAUUGGACAAUGGGCGAAAGCCUGAUCCAGCCAUGCCGCGUGUGUGAAGAAGGCCUUCGGGUUGUAAAGCACUUUCAGUGGGGAAGAAAGCCUUGGGGCUAAUACCCUCGAGGAAGGACAUCACCCACAGAAGAAGCACCGGCUAACUCCGUGCCAGCAGCCGCGGUAAUACGGAGGGUGCGAGCGUGACUCGGAAUUACUGGGCGUAAAGCGCGCGUAGGCGGUCUGAUAAGCCGGUUGUGAAAGCCCCGGGCUCAACCUGGGAACGGCAUCCGGAACUGUCAGGCUAGAGUGCAGGAGAGGAAGGUAGAAUUCCCGGUGUAGCGGUGAAAUGCGUAGAGAUCGGGAGGAAUACCAGUGGCGAAGGCGGCCUUCUGGACUGACACUGACGCUGAGGUGCGAAAGCGUGGGUAGCAAACAGGAUUAGAUACCCGAGUAGUC
rnacentral:rRNA from 1 species